GGCAGUGUUUUCUAAGGAUUUUCGAUGAAAAUUUGUAUAUUGUGGACUCAAUCCUAUUACAAAUUUCUGUAUUUUCGUGUAUAAGGCACCAACUGAGUUAAUGAAGAGGGGCAUACACCAUGCAAGAGACAUACAUGCCAUGCCAUGCCAAAUGCCAAACCAAAUACCAUGCCAUACCAUACCAUAUAUACCAUACCGGUUAAAUUGUAUUGACAGUCACCAUUUAAUUUCGCCAUCUGGAGAACUGGAUACUUUAACGAGUUUCAACAAGUAAAAUGGAGUGUACAGAGGCAUCGAUUAUUAUUUGUGAAUGCAGAUGCAACAGUCUGAUUGGAUGAUUGGAAUUCAGGACGACAUAAAGUAGAAUUUCAGUCGCAAAACAAUUGAAGUUGCAUUACUCACAGGCCAGAAUAGCAGACUGCAUUUGCAGCGGUUAAAUUUUCUAAAUUUUCUCGGGAAGGGUGAGGCCCUCAUAACCCAAGACAAUUGACUGGAUGUUUGGGAUUCAGGCAUGGUAUGAAUUUAAAUUCUGAUGCUGAAAAAAUGGAGACAACUGCUGACAGGAUUUAAACGGAUGUUUUAUAUGCACAGUAUUCAGACAGAGACUCAGA